rnacentral:rRNA from 1 species
GUCUUCUUGUUUAUAUAUGAAGUCUGGUCUGCCCACUGAAGUUUGAAGGGCCGCGGUAUUUUGACCGUGCAAAGGUAGCAUAAUCAUUAGUCCUUUAAUUGGGGGCUGGAAUGAAGGGCUGCACGAGGUAUAGACUGUCUUAUUUGAAUUGUUAUUAGAAUUUAAUUUUUAAGUUAAAAAGCUUAAAUUUUUUUAAAGGACGAGAAGACCCUAUAGAACUUUAUAUAAAUACAAGUAAAUGGUCUUUGGUUGUUUUUAUAUUUAUUUGUGUUUGUAUUUUGUUGGGGUGAUAGGAAAAUAAAAUUAACUUUUUUUAUUAUUUUACAUUAAUUUAUGAUUAUUUGAUCCAUUUUUAGUGAUUAUAAGAUUAAGUUACCUUAGGGAUAACAGCGUAAUUUUCCUUUAGAGUUCUUAUCGACGGGAAAGCUUGCGACCUCGAUGUUGGAUUAAGAUUAAUUUUUGGUGUAGAAGCUGAAAUAUUAGGUCUGUUCGACCUUUAAAUUCUUACA